CGAUGAAUAAACACCCUGAAUAAUAUCUGAAGUACUCUGAGACUGCAAUGACUUUGGUGUGUAUAGUAGCAAUAUAGCGGCUUUUUUUUUUAAAUGCAAAGAUGUUAGUUGAUGAAUAGUGGCCGUUUACAUGGAAGGAGAUCCAGCAACAAGAGCGAGCAGUUCAUUCAAAUGGACAGAGACAGGUGGUAAAUGAUUAGGAAGUACUAAUAUAAGAAAAUACUUAUUUUAAGUUGACCUCAGGGAAGUACUGAAAGCAUAUGACCCUGUUAAGAUCACAGGUAUGUGAACGUAGCCUCAAAGAUUUUGUGAUCAAAGAUAACUGUAGAUCUACAAGACAGAUGAGACCAAACGCAUGAAAGUCAAAGGAGGUCAUGUGUUUUUAUUUUAAGAUUACAAUGAGAUGGUAUGAAGGUGGUAAAUUCAUUAGUCCAUUUGGUAAAAAUCAAUCAUUAAGAAAGCUCAUAUAGAGUGGGGGAACUAUGACGUCACUUUGUAGGCGGAUCGGCGGUUAGCAUGAAACUGGUUCCUCGACAAAAAGCCUAUGGGAUUUUUCCAUAGGCUUUUGGAUUAUCGCAAAAAAUAAGCUCUGUGUUCAACCAUAGUAUAUGAAACUUACACAUUUUGUCCAUCAAGAUAAUCUUCACAAAAUAAUAUAACUUUAAUGAAUUUUGAUGCCUAAAUAACUGCGCCAGAACUUAAAAGCUAAACUUAGGCUAUAAACGAACUGCAGCACCAUGGUCACUCGUCUUCAGCGUCACCACCACCGCGUUCCCGACAACUAUUUCAAACUUAUUUUUAACGUGUUCAGUGAAAAGGAUUUACUCUGUAUAUGAAUUUUAAUCCACGCUACAUGAACCUUUUCAUAUAAACUGGAAUAAAUACAAAACUAGAGCCAAACAAAAACUGAAAUGAGACAUUAAUAAUAAAUAGUAUAGUGAAUAAAUGAAAUAAACAUACCUAAGGGACAUUUAAAGCACAUAUUUCUGUACAUUUCGAAAUAAGGUGCAUUAAAAGUCAAUAAAUUCUUGAUUAAUAUGAAUAUUUUAAUUAAAAACGUGUCUCCACGUACUAUUCAAUAAAAGUCUAGUGUAUUUAAUCUAUUAAAUAACAGCAGAGUGAGUUUUUGGAUAUGGUAAGAUUAAACUUAUUUUAGUGAAUAAAGUACCACAUUUCAGCUAUCGUUUUGUUAGGAUGGGUAAACAAAAUGUUAUUUUAUCCUUGCUUCUAGGAAAUCCUCAAUCUGUAUGCUUUCUUACAGUUUCUUGUGGCCGUAAACAUUUAAUUUUAACGUGGCUUUAAGCUCAUAUAGAGUGGGGGAACUCUAUACAUCGUUAAAGUUUCACUUUCACCAUGACUAAGCCGGUAAAUGUGGUGUUUACAUGAAAUAAUCAUACGAGUUUACCUUAUGGUACGAACCCAUAGUCUCCGCAUCAGUAAGCGAUAAAACGAGCUUCUUCCCUCCGAAGACUUGUGUUGCAUUUCGGGGCAAAACAAAAAACAUUGUCGAACAACAAUAUAAAAUGCGGGAAAAUAUUAAUUAGUUAUUCUACAAUUAAUUAUAUUACAAAUUGUACUACAGCUGCAAAUACUGUAAAUUGAUAAACUGUUCGGUGUGAUGACGUUGAAUGUCUCCAACAGCGUCUGUAGUCCCAUUUAGCAACUUGUUAGCAACCAUUUUUUUUAAACGUAACAGUUUAAAAAAAAUCACGAGUGGGGUGUAACUGGAGUGUUUUAUGUCGUAGAAUAAAACGUGAAAGUGUGAACCACGGACCUUAUUUAAGGGAUUUAACCAAAAUCCCAUUCAAAAAACCCAUUGACACUGGGACGAUGGAACCGGAAGUGCUAAAAUGCUAACUCGCUUCCACCACUCUAUUCUGACAUUAGAUAGAGGUGUGACUUGGUGUCAUGGAAAUGGACUCUGGACUCCACUGACUCUCUUUGAAUGUCAUUUGCAAUGUAAAAUAUGCAUGUCAACAAACCUGUUGCAUAUUGUGUAGGCCUACCUAAAUGGAGCAACACAUGGUUUACUGAUCCAACACAACCUUUCUUGUCUCUGAAAAGACAAGUUGGAGGAUUUGUGUAUCUGUGUGAUCAUUUGUUGGCAUAUCAUCAUGAGGACUGAUUUGAUGUUAGUACUGUUAUCAGAGAAAAAGAGACAGAUAGUGAGACUGGAGGUGAAAUCAAGUCAAAAUGUGAACGAUCCUGGCGUGAAGAGAGAGAUUUUGGCAAAGGUAGAGCAGAUACUGAAGGGGAAUGGGCUGACAGAGGAUGCUAAGCUCUCGUGGAUGAUGUUUUCUGGUGAAAUUGUCUUUCACAGGAUGUGGUGUCAGAAGAAUGAUUUUUCUAAUUUGCACUGCAGGAGAAACAUGAAAUGAUUGUUCAUAAUAGCAUUUCCUACCUAAUCAUCCUCACAUUUAUACUGACUGUGUCCUUUUAGCCACAUUUUGAAUACUGCUUUUGCAUUGUUGAAAGUUUGUAAAACAGUAGUUUGAAAAAUGGCAACAACAGACACAAACCUAUGCAAAAUAAAUGUAAACUGGAAAGCAAGACGACGCCUGCAGGUCAACAUCUGUCCUACAGAGGGAGCUCAAAAGAAGCGAUGAAAGAACUAAAAGAAAAACAGUUUUUAGUGAGUCACUGUAAAAAUUAUUUUUCAAAGUUUUAAAUGAAAAAUUAUUGGAGUAUGUUUUACAAAAAAAAAAAAAAACUACUUUAGUAUUUCUACUUUAAAACUUAAUGUUUCAUUUAAUGUGUUACUUGCUGUUUCUUGGUAAUUAUUUGUGAAAUGUAGCAAUUUCUGUCUAAAGUAAAUCCUGGCAAGUAAAAUCUGCUCAGAUUUAAUUUUUUUUAGUGUAUGUGUGAUAAUAAAAACACAAACUCAAAGAAAUCAAUAAACUCUGCUCUUCUCGUCCACAAUCGUAGGUUAGUUAUUUUGUUGUGUAUGGUUUGUAACUUAUAUAGAAUUCAUUUUGAUGAAUGACACACAUCUUCAGGAGGAAGAUUACUAGGCAUGUCACAGCAAUCAUGAGAAUAUAACUUUAAUAUUUGUCUAAAGCAAACAUGUCUUUACACAUUAGAUCUUAAAUGAAGCACAUGUGCAUUUAUUGACUUUGCACAUUUGUUUGGUUGUGUGAACACAACAUCACUUC